GCAAACUUGGUCAUUUAGAGGAAGUAAAAGUCGUAACAAGGUUUCCGUAGGUGAACCUGCGGAAGGAUCAUUACAGAGAACUUGCCCCUCGGGGUAUAUCUCCUACCCUAUGUUUACAAUACCAUGUUGCUUUGGCAGGCCCGUCUUCUUGACCACCGGCUUCGGCUGGUCCGUGCCUGCCAGAGGAUCAAAACCCUAUAUAUUUUGUGUUCGGAGUUUAGUUUCGAUAGUUAAAACUUUCAACAACGGAUCUCUUGGUUCUGGCAUCGAUGAAGAACGCAGC
rnacentral:misc_RNA from 1 species